UACGAAGGGGGCUAGCGUUGUUCGGAUUUACUGGGCGUAAAGCGCACGUAGGCGGAUAUUUAAGUCAGAGGUGAAAUCCCAGGGCUCAACCCUGGAACUGCCUUUGAUACUGGAUAUCUCGAGUAUGGAAGAGGUGAGUGGAAUAUGGAGUGUAGAGGUAAAAUUCGUAGAUAUUCGGAGGAACACCAGUGGCGAAGGCGGCUCACUGUUCCAUUACUGACGCUGAGGUGCGAAAGCGUGGGGAGCAAACA
rnacentral:rRNA from 1 species